CAGUUCUUCAGAGGUAGACUUGCUGGUGGAUUUUGGUUCCAUUUAUCACAAGAAGUCCUCCAGGUCCUGAAACAGCAAAACAGCCCAAGACCAUCACACUACCACCACCAUAUUUUACAGUUGGAUGAAGCAACCAUUCAAAAUCAUACCCACAAAAAAUGUGGUCCAAAUGAAAAUGAGGACGGGCACCCUGGUCGCCGAAUACAACCUGCGGAGGCACUGCGGAACCAUCACAACUUGACGCAGUCCAUCUCCCCAUGCCCUCUGAUCAUUGGCAGGUGCGUGGUUCUGGG